AGCUGGUCGCGAGAUCAGUCGAUAACCUGAAAGACCAGUGGUUCGGACUCUCAGAUUAUCUCCUCAUCAGGCUAAUCACGGUUAUUUGACCCGGCUCUUGCCGGGUCUUUUUUU
rnacentral:sRNA from 1 species